rnacentral:rRNA from 1 species
ACUCCUACGGGAGGCAGCAGUGGGGAAUUUUGGACAAUGGGCGAAAGCCUGAUCCAGCAAUGCCGCGUGAGUGAAGAAGGCCUUCGGGUUGUAAAGCUCUUUUGUCAGGGAAGAAACGGUGAGAGCUAAUAUCUUUUGCUAAUGACGGUACCUGAAGAAUAAGCACCGGCUAACUACGUGCCAGCAGCCGCGGUAAUACGUAGGGUGCAAGCGUUAAUCGGAAUUACUGGGCGUAAAGCGUGCGCAGGCGGUUUUGUAAGUCUGAUGUGAAAUCCCCGGGCUCAACCUGGGAAUUGCAUUGGAGACUGCAAGGCUAGAAUCUGGCAGAGGGGGGUAGAAUUCCACGUGUAGCAGUGAAAUGCGUAGAUAUGUGGAGGAACACCGAUGGCGAAGGCAGCCCCCUGGGUCAAGAUUGACGCUCAUGCACGAAAGCGUGGGGAGCAAACAGGAUUAGAUACCCGGGUAGUCCCAUGAU